UACGAAGGGGGCGAGCGUUGUUCGGAUUUACUGGGUGUAAAGGGCGCGUAGGCGGCCCUCUUUGUCGCGUGUGAAAGCCCUGGGCUCAACCUGGGAAUUGCGCGCGAAACGGGGGGGCUUGAGUUCGGGAGAGGAGCGUGGAAUUCCCAGUGUAGAGGUGAAAUUCGUAGAUAUUGGGAAGAACACCGGUGGCGAAGGCGGCGCUCUGGACCGAGACUGACGCUGAGGCACGAAAGCGUGGGGAGCAAACAGG
rnacentral:rRNA from 1 species